UACAGAGGGGGCCAGCGUUAUUCGGAAUUACUGGGCGUAAAGCGUGCGCAGGCGGUUUUGUAAGCCAGAUGUGAAAUCCCCGGGCUUAACCUGGGAAUGGCAUUUGGGACUGCAAGGCUUGAGUGCGGCAGAGGAGACUGGAAUUCCUGGUGUAGCAGUGAAAUGCGUAGAUAUCAGGAGGAACACCGAUGGCGAAGGCAGGUCUCUGGGCUGACACUGACGCUCAUGCACGAAAGCGUGGGGAGCAAACAGG
rnacentral:rRNA from 1 species